GGCCUUGCCCACUCAACUAAAUUUCUUUCUGUGGACGGCCUGGUUCUGUCUAUAACCCGCCUGCCAGAUAACAUUUCAAGGAAGACAACCCCAAAACUGUAUACGUCACUUUUCGCUGUUAGGUGACCUGUUUCUAUAUACUCAGGAGCUGCAUAGCCUUCAGUACCCAAGACUCUUGUGGUGACAUGGCUUUUACUAUCAAUAGGCCCAUCCCUGGCCAAACCAAGGUCCGAGAGUUUGGCAUUACAGCUCCAAUCAAGCAGGAUAUCAGAAGUUUUUAAGUCUCGAUAUAUCACUUGAGCCUCAUCAUGAAGAAAUGUCAGACACUUAGCAGCACCAAAGGCAACUUUCAUACGGAGAUUCCA
rnacentral:misc_RNA from 1 species